AGUUGACUUCGAAAGGGCCAGAUUCUUAAAUCAAAGGUUGGAAGAGGAACCAAAACCUCUGCUAAAGAAGCAGAAAACCCGGUCUAGACAGGCUAAGACAAGCUUUUUCGAGGUAUUCAAGGACAGUAUUCUUAUAGGAGACGUAGAGAAAGAUUAUCGGAUAACAUGUUGGUAGUGAUGACGAAUACUAUUAUUGGCACUCGCGAGGAUGUUAGAGUGAUGGAAUUGGAAGAACAUUUCAGUCAGACCGCGAGCGGAGGAUGUUGAUGAUGGAGCGGACUAUGUAUUCAAUCUUACUUAACUUCUGAAGGCCAGACAGUCACAAAAUAAUUGCUGCCAGUGUUCAACUAUAGUUUGGCACAUCUACAUAUUUGGAUCCGCUUUCAAAAUCUUACCGUAUAGAAAUUCUUAAAUAAAACUUGCUGUUAAAUUUUUGAAUGUAUUUCCCAUUCAACCGUGCAGUACCAUAGAAAUAGAGAACUUUGUGCGAAGGACUUGGACCAUUUAA